rnacentral:lncRNA from 1 species
GGAAGCAAUACUUAAGAUGACAGUGAACAGACAGGAGCUGCAUUAUCUGUCAUGGCCUAAGUUUAGAAGCCACAGCCUUUAGAUAUGCAACAUCACAAGCAAUCCUGGUAUCCAAAACUGAAGAACUCAUCAUCCUGCCUCAGGCUUCAGAGUGCUGGGAUUAGAGAUGCUCAUUACCACAGCCAGCUCAGCUGGCUCCUUUGAAUGCUAGAGCUUUCUAAAUUCCUUGAGUGGGAAGUUGUAAUACAGGUGACAAAAAUCCAAACCUAGGGAGUGUGGAGGAUCUGUGGGUCAGGAAAGAAGGAGAAAUGCUCUGGGCUCCACCCUUAGAGUCUGGCAGGGUUUCCUUGCCCUGCCCCCUCCCCCAUUCCCAGUCACUUGCCCAUUCACAGAAGUUGCCCUUGCCUUCACAGAAGUUCUAGUAUCUGAUCACUCUCAUCAAAACGACAUGAUUAGCUACAUCAUCGACACCCAAGAACUUCCAGUUUGAACCUCAAAAAUAAUGGCAAAGAAUCUCCUAAAGCUUUAAAUAAGUUUGUGAGGUUGGCAGGGGCCACGUUAUAGCUAUCAUCAUGGCUACCUGUGGGCUUCAAGCUGCAGGUUAAACAUCUUCACAAACCUAGUCCAAAGCGUCCAUUAGUUCU